rnacentral:rRNA from 1 species
UACGUAGGGUGCGAGCGUUGUCCGGAAUUAUUGGGCGUAAAGGGCGCGUAGGCGGUCAGCACAAGUCAAUUGUGAAAUCUCCGAGCUUAACUCGGAAAGGUCAACUGAAACUGUGCGACUAGAGUGCGGAAGGGGCAACUGGAAUUCUUGGUGUAGCGGUGAAAUGCGUAGAUAUCAAGAGGAACACCUGCGGCGAAGGCGGGUUGCUGGGCCGACACUGACGCUGAAGCGCGAAAGCCAGGGGAGCGAACGGG